rnacentral:rRNA from 1 species
GACGAACGCUGGCGGCGUGCCUAAUACAUGCAAGUCGAACGCAGUGGGGACGGGUGAGUAACACGUGGGUAACCUCCCAUCAGAGGGGAUACCACUUGGAAACAGGUGCUAAACCGAUCUUGAUGGCUGGACCCGAUGUGCAUUAGCUAGUUGGUGAGGUAACGGCUCACCAAGGCCACGAUGCAUAGGCGACUGGAGAGGGUUAUCGGCCCAACAGUGAUGGAGAUACGGCCCAGACUCCGACGGGAGGCAGCAGUAGGGAAUUUGCGGAAAUGGACGAAAGUCUGACCGAGCAAAGCAGCGUGAGUGAAGAAGGUUUUCGGAUCGUAAAACUCUGUUGUUAGAGAAGCGGUAUCUAACCAGAAAGCCACGGCUAACUCCGUGCCAGCCGCCGCGGUAAUAC